rnacentral:pre_miRNA from 1 species
GUGAGAUGAAAUCAAUGUUUGGACAUACAAUUUCACGCUGUUUUCAUCUCAUGA